rnacentral:tRNA from 2 species
GGAGAGAUGGCAGAGUGGUCGAUUGCGGCGGUCUUGAAAACCGUUGAACUGAAAGGUUCCUGGGGUUCGAAUCCCUAUCUCUCCGCAA